UACGGAGGGUGCAAACGUUGCUCGGAAUCAUUGGGCGUAAAGCGCACGUAGGCGGUUCAGUAUGUCGGGUGUGAAAGCCCUCGGCUUAACCGAGGAAGUGCAUUCGAAACUGCUGGACUUGAAUACUGGAGAGGAUCGCGGAAUUCCCGGUGUAGAGGUGAAAUUCGUAGAUAUCGGGAGGAACACCAGUGGCGAAGGCGGCGAUCUGGACAGAUAUUGACGCUGAGGUGCGAAAGCGUGGGGAGCGAACAGG
rnacentral:rRNA from 1 species